GGAGACAGAGCGGAGGUAGUCCGGGGAGACGAGGUGGUGCAUGGUUGUCGUCAGCUCGUGUCGUGAGAUGUUGGGUUAAGUCCCGCAACGAGCGCAACCCUUAUUGCUAGUUACCAUCAUUGAGUUGGGGACUCUAGCGAGACUGCCAGCGAUAAGCUGGAGGAAGGUGGGGAUGACGUCAAAUCAUCAUGCCCCUUAUGACCUGGGCUACAAACGUGAUACAAUGGCUGGAACAAAGGGAGGCGAAGGGGUGACCUGGAGCGAAACCCAAAAAUACAGUCUCAGUUCGGAUUGAAGUCUGCAACUCGACUUCAUGAAGUCGGAAUCGCUAGUAAUCGCGGAUCAGCAUGCUGCAGUGAAUACGUUCCCGGGCCUU
rnacentral:rRNA from 1 species